AGUUCGAUGCACUUUGUGGGGUGGUUCGAGCAACAGAGGUUUCCUCACUGAGUAAUGAUAUCCUUGCACGCAUCGUUGAAAGCUCCACAAAUGCUCGUUAUGAGUUUGCCCAGAAGGAACUGCAAAGGAAAUGGAUGAUAUGUGCUGCUGCAGCAGGUGGUUUCUCUGUUGGAUGCUUGAUGAGUACAAGGAAGAAAAAAGCUCUGGAACGGAACUGAUGAGAACCUCCCAGUAUAAAUAUGAUGUGAUAAGGUUCAGGCCCUGGGAUAUGUAGCUUAUUUA